CUUUAGUUAGCCAGUUGUCCCCUGAAGAAAUCCUCAGCCUGUGAAUCAUAAAGCAAACGACAGGUCUCCCACAUAUUUCUAAACAUUUCGCUUUCCAAUCACAUCAGCCAAUUUCAUUCUUUAAUGGAUUCACUCACAAUUGGUAGGACUUCCUCCUAGACCAAAGGUUGUUUUCCAACUUCUUGAAGUACUCUGAAACUCAUCAAAAACAAUUCUCACCUGAAAACCA